AAGUGAGCUAAACCCAAAGAUGAUCUCGAGCUACAGGCCCCGGGACAUGUAGUGUAGCCCGCCGCCUCCGAGAAGCCCCCGGGAUUUCUAGGGGUUGAAAAGUCGGAGACGAGAGGAGCUGGAGGAGGACCUAUUAAGAAAGGAGCAGGCCAGAGGGAGGAGGCUUAGGGAGGGAGACAGCCUCCAGCCCUGUUCUUCCCUUCCAGAGUAGAUGAAGAGUUCCUGCUCUCUAGGAGAUGGUUUAAGUGGAAAGAGAGGGAGGGGAAUGCGCGGAGAGGGAAGAAAGGUGAAAGGACAGAAUAAAGGAGAAAAUAGAGGGAAAAAAGAGAGAGAAGAGAGGACAGACGAGGCGAAGGAGAAAAGGGGCGAGAGAAUGGUGCAAAAGGAAGAGGAGGUGGAAGAGCUCCAGCAUCAAUUGGCCAAGCCUGGAUCACUAGCCCCUACCCUAGAGAUGCAACGAGGAAGUGGAUCUGCCUCCUGAGAUGGGAAAUUCUCCAGCACACAGGGAAGGGAGUUCAGAUGUUGGGCAGACACAGGAUGAAGCAAGGUAAAUGUCUACUACACCCAGCACCAAAAAAAAAAAAAUUUCUUAGAGAAAGAAAGGGACCCUAUUUGCUUUCAUCUUGAACUUCUUGUAGAAGACCAAACAAAAUAAAAUCCUGACUAGUUAGCAUUUCAAAACACCUAUGUGGAAUUGGAUGCUUAACCGGGGAAACCUUUCUCCCUUGGAGAAGGGGAGAAUAGGGGAGGGGUGACCAUCUACCCAAUGGUUACAGGUAUAUGAGGUAACAUUAAGAAUCCUAACAUUAAGAAUCCUGUCCACAAGGCACCAAAUACUUUGUGAUGAAGGAAAAUUAGAAGAGAAAGAGAAAAAGGCAGCAGAAUGAAGGGGAGAGCAGAAAAUAGCUACCUGAAAACUGACAUUUAAUAAGGACUUCCUUUAAGUCAGGCAUUAUGUCUUCUAUGGCCAUUGCUUCAUUUUAUCCAAAGUCAUUUCUUGGCUCCAAUGAGUAGAUUAAGAAACAAAUACAUACAGGUGAAGCAGUGAUGUUAGGAGAGAUAAUGUAAAAGAUAAUGAUGAAUGAUAAUUUAUGCAGUGCACUAACUCUUGCCUAGAAAUAUGGUAAGGACCCAUCAGCAUUCUAUUGGAGUGAUUGAGAGUCCAUACUUUAGAGAAAAAUUGCCUAUGUUCAAAUUUCAGCCCUACCAACUACCAGUUGUGUGACCCUUCAAUAAAUCACU
rnacentral:lncRNA from 1 species